rnacentral:rRNA from 1 species
GCCUACGGGGCGCAGCAGUGAGGAAUAUUGGUCAAUGGCCGAGAGGCUGAACCAGCCAAGUCGCGUGAGGGAUGACGGCCCUACGGGUUGUAAACCUCUUUUGUCGGGGAGCAAGACCCGCCUCGUGCAGGCGGAGCGAGAGUACCCGAAGAAAAAGCAUCGGCUAACUCCGUGCCAGCAGCCGCGGUAAUACGGAGGAUGCGAGCGUUAUCCGGAUUUAUUGGGUUUAAAGGGUGCGCAGGCGGACCAUCAAGUCAGCGGUAAAAUCGUGGGGCCCAACCCCAUUCCGCCGUUGAAACUGGCGG